rnacentral:rRNA from 1 species
AGCGUACACGGUGGAUGCCCUGGCAGUCAGAGGCGAUGAAGGACGUGCUAAUCUGCGAUAAGCGUCGGUAAGGUGAUAUGAACCGUUAUAACCGGCGAUUUCCGAAUGGGGAAACCCAGUGUGUUUCGACACACUAUCAUUAACUGAAUCCAUAGGUUAAUGAGGCGAACCGGGGGAACUGAAACAUCUAAGUACCCCGAGGAAAAGAAAUCAACCGAGAUUCCCCCAGUAGCGGCGAGCGAACGGGGAGCAGCCCAGAGCCUGAAUCAGUGUGUGUGUUAGUGGAAGCGUCUGGAAAGGCGCGCGAUACAGGGUGACAGCCCCGUACACAAAAAUGCACAUGCUGUGAGCUCGAUGAGUAGGGCGGGACACGUGGUAUCCUGUCUGAAUAUGGGGGGACCAUCCUCCAAGGCUAAAUACUCCUGACUGACCGAUAGUGAACCAGUACCGUGAGGGAAAGGCGAAAAGAACCCCGGCGAGGGGAGUGAAAAAGAACCUGAAACCGUGUACGUACAAGCAGUGGGAGCACGCUUAGGCGUGUGACUGCGUACCUUUUGUAUAAUGGGUCAGCGACUUAUAUUCUGUAGCAAGGUUAACCGAAUAGGGGAGCCGAAGGGAAACCGAGUCUUAACUGGGCGUUAAGUUGCAGGGUAUAGACCCGAAACCCGGUGAUCUAGCCAUGGGCAGGUUGAAGGUUGGGUAACACUAACUGGAGGACCGAACCGACUAAUGUUGAAAAAUUAGCGGAUGACUUGUGGCUGGGGGUGAAAGGCCAAUCAAACCGGGAGAUAGCUGGUUCUCCCCGAAAGCUAUUUAGGUAGCGCCUCGUGAAUUCAUCUCCGGGGGUAGAGCACUGUUUCGGCAAGGGGGUCAUCCCGACUUACCAACCCGAUGCAAACUGCGAAUACCGGAGAAUGUUAUCACGGGAGACACACGGCGGGUGCUAACGUCCGUCGUGAAGAGGGAAACAACCCAGACCGCCAGCUAAGGUCCCAAAGUCAUGGUUAAGUGGGAAACGAUGUGGGAAGGCCCAGACAGCCAGGAUGUUGGCUUAGAAGCAGCCAUCAUUUAAAGAAAGCGUAAUAGCUCACUGGUCGAGUCGGCCUGCGCGGAAGAUGUAACGGGGCUAAACCAUGCACCGAAGCUGCGGCAGCGACGCUUAUGCGUUGUUGGGUAGGGGAGCGUUCUGUAAGCCUGCGAAGGUGUGCUGUGAGGCAUGCUGGAGGUAUCAGAAGUGCGAAUGCUGACAUAAGUAACGAUAAAGCGGGUGAAAAGCCCGCUCGCCGGAAGACCAAGGGUUCCUGUCCAACGUUAAUCGGGGCAGGGUGAGUCGACCCCUAAGGCGAGGCCGAAAGGCGUAGUCGAUGGGAAACAGGUUAAUAUUCCUGUACUUGGUGUUACUGCGAAGGGGGGACGGAGAAGGCUAUGUUGGCCGGGCGACGGUUGUCCCGGUUUAAGCGUGUAGGCUGGUUUUCCAGGCAAAUCCGGAAAAUCAAGGCUGAGGCGUGAUGACGAGGCACUACGGUGCUGAAGCAACAAAUGCCCUGCUUCCAGGAAAAGCCUCUAAGCAUCAGGUAACAUCAAAUCGUACCCCAAACCGACACAGGUGGUCAGGUAGAGAAUACCAAGGCGCUUGAGAGAACUCGGGUGAAGGAACUAGGCAAAAUGGUGCCGUAACUUCGGGAGAAGGCACGCUGAUAUGUAGGUGAAGUCCCUCGCGGAUGGAGCUGAAAUCAGUCGAAGAUACCAGCUGGCUGCAACUGUUUAUUAAAAACACAGCACUGUGCAAACACGAAAGUGGACGUAUACGGUGUGACGCCUGCCCGGUGCCGGAAGGUUAAUUGAUGGGGUUAGCCGCAAGGCGAAGCUCUUGAUCGAAGCCCCGGUAAACGGCGGCCGUAACUAUAACGGUCCUAAGGUAGCGAAAUUCCUUGUCGGGUAAGUUCCGACCUGCACGAAUGGCGUAAUGAUGGCCAGGCUGUCUCCACCCGAGACUCAGUGAAAUUGAACUCGCUGUGAAGAUGCAGUGUACCCGCGGCAAGACGGAAAGACCCCGUGAACCUUUACUAUAGCUUGACACUGAACAUUGAGCCUUGAUGUGUAGGAUAGGUGGGAGGCUUUGAAGUGUGGACGCCAGUCUGCAUGGAGCCGACCUUGAAAUACCACCCUUUAAUGUUUGAUGUUCUAACGUUGACCCGUAAUCCGGGUUGCGGACAGUGUCUGGUGGGUAGUUUGACUGGGGCGGUCUCCUCCUAAAGAGUAACGGAGGAGCACGAAGGUUGGCUAAUCCUGGUCGGACAUCAGGAGGUUAGUGCAAUGGCAUAAGCCAGCUUGACUGCGAGCGUGACGGCGCGAGCAGGUGCGAAAGCAGGUCAUAGUGAUCCGGUGGUUCUGAAUGGAAGGGCCAUCGCUCAACGGAUAAAAGGUACUCCGGGGAUAACAGGCUGAUACCGCCCAAGAGUUCAUAUCGACGGCGGUGUUUGGCACCUCGAUGUCGGCUCAUCACAUCCUGGGGCUGAAGUAGGUCCCAAGGGUAUGGCUGUUCGCCAUUUAAAGUGGUACGCGAGCUGGGUUUAGAACGUCGUGAGACAGUUCGGUCCCUAUCUGCCGUGGGCGCUGGAGAACUGAGGGGGGCUGCUCCUAGUACGAGAGGACCGGAGUGGACGCAUCACUGGUGUUCGGGUUGUCAUGCCAAUGGCACUGCCCGGUAGCUAAAUGCGGAAGAGAUAAGUGCUGAAAGCAUCUAAGCACGAAACUUGCCCCGAGAUGAGUUCUCCCUGACUCCUUGA